CCUACGGGAGGCAGCAGUGGGGAAUUUUGGACAAUGGGCGCAAGCCUGAUCCAGCAAUGCCGCGUGCAGGAAGAAGGCCUUCGGGUUGUAAACUGCUUUUGUACGGAGCGAAAAGGCUCUCUCUAAUACAGGGGGCUCAUGACGGUACCGUAAGAAUAAGCACCGGCUAACUACGUGCCAGCAGCCGCGGUAAUACGUAGGGUGCAAGCGUUAAUCGGAAUUACUGGGCGUAAAGCGUGCGCAGGCGGUUUUGUAAGACAGGCGUGAAAUCCCCGGGCUCAACCUGGGAAUGGCGCUUGUGACUGCAARGCUGGAGUGCGGCAGAGGGGGAUGGAAUUCCGCGUGUAGCAGUGAAAUGCGUAGAUAUGCGGAGGAACACCGAUGGCGAAGGCAAUCCCCUGGGCCUGCACUGACGCUCAUGCACGAAAGCGUGGGGAGCAAACAGGAUUAGAUACCCUGGUAGUCCACGCCCUAAACGAUGUCAACUGGUUGUUGGGUAUUUACUUACUCAGUAACGAAGCUAACGCGUGAAGUUGACCGCCUGGGGAGUACGGCCGCAAGGUUGAAACUCAAAKGAAUUGACGG
rnacentral:rRNA from 1 species